GAUGAACGCUGGCGGCGUGCCUAAUACAUGCAAGUCGAGCGAACGGACGAGAAGCUUGCUUCUCUGAUGUUAGCGGCGGACGGGUGAGUAACACGUGGAUAACCUACCUAUAAGACUGGGAUAACUUCGGGAAACCGGAGCUAAUACCGGAUAAUAUUUUGAACCGCAUGGUUCAAAAGUGAAAGACGGUCUUGCUGUCACUUAUAGAUGGAUCCGCGCUGCAUUAGCUAGUUGGUAAGGUAACGGCUUACCAAGGCAACGAUGCAUAGCCGACCUGAGAGGGUGAUCGGCCACACUGGAACUGAGACACGGUCCAGGCUCCUACGGGAGGCAGCAGUAGGGAAUCUUCCGCAAUGGGCGAAAGCCUGACGGAGCAACGCCGCGUGAGUGAUGAAGGUCUUCGGAUCGUAAAACUCUGUUAUUAGGGAAGAACAUAUGUGUAAGUAACUGUGCACAUCUUGACGGUACCUAAUCAGAAAGCCACGGCUAACUACGUGCCAGCAGCCGCGGUAAUACGUAGGUGGCAAGCGUUAUCCGGAAUUAUUGGGCGUAAAGCGCGCGUAGGCGGUUUUUUAAGUCUGAUGUGAAAGCCCACGGCUCAACCGUGGAGGGUCAUUGGAAACUGGAAAACUUGAGUGCAGAAGAGGAAAGUGGAAUUCCAUGUGUAGCGGUGAAAUGCGCAGAGAUAUGGAGGAACACCAGUGGCGAAGGCGACUUUCUGGUCUGUAACUGACGCUGAUGUGCGAAAGCGUGGGGAUCAAACAGGAUUAGAUACCCUGGUAGUCCACGCCGUAAACGAUGAGUGCUAAGUGUUAGGGGGUUUCCGCCCCUUAGUGCUGCAGCUAACGCAUUAAGCACUCCGCCUGGGGAGUACGACCGCAAGGUUGAAACUCAAAGGAAUUGACGGGGACCCGCACAAGCGGUGGAGCAUGUGGUUUAAUUCGAAGCAACGCGAAGAACCUUACCAAAUCUUGACAUCCUUUGACAACUCUAGAGAUAGAGCUUUCCCCUUCGGGGGACAAAGUGACAGGUGGUGCAUGGUUGUCGUCAGCUCGUGUCGUGAGAUGUUGGGUUAAGUCCCGCAACGAGCGCAACCCUUAAGCUUAGUUGCCAUCAUUAAGUUGGGCACUCUAAGUUGACUGCCGGUGACAAACCGGAGGAAGGUGGGGAUGACGUCAAAUCAUCAUGCCCCUUAUGAUUUGGGCUACACACGUGCUACAAUGGACAAUACAAAGGGCAGCGAAACCGCGAGGUCAAGCAAAUCCCAUAAAGUUGUUCUCAGUUCGGAUUGUAGUCUGCAACUCGACUACAUGAAGCUGGAAUCGCUAGUAAUCGUAGAUCAGCAUGCUACGGUGAAUACGUUCCCGGGUCU
rnacentral:rRNA from 1 species